rnacentral:lncRNA from 1 species
CUGUCACAAAAUGAAGUUAAAGCAAAAUUUAUAAAAAAUUAAAAGAUUAGGAACCACUUCUACAAUUUUUUCUAAUUUCGAUGACUCGCAAAUUAUUGUCCUAAUAACAAGUUGGUUCUCAAUCAAUUUAAAAACAGAAAGGUAAUUUGAUUCUCAAUCAUCCACUUUCAUAGAAUUUUAUUAAAUUAUCAAGUGACCCUCGAAAAAACUUAUUAUUCGAUUUCAUGGUACCAAACCAGGUGAAGAGCAAAAUUUACCUUCGUAAAAAUGGGCAUAUGAUAUUUUAUGGAAAAAAUUGUAGUAGUGGUUUCUAACUUUUUCAAAUUUUGUAGAUUUUAUCAUAACCUUCAAUUUGUACCAACAGAGAUUCCAAACCUUUCAUAAAUAUGCAGAUGGGUCCAAACAGAUGAAAACUAUCCAUUUGACUGUUAGUUGACCAAAUUAGGUAAGGGUAAAAUGAUAACUUAAUUAAUUCCAUAUUAUAAUAAACCAAACAAAAUUAGGAAAAAAAUUUCUCCAUCUUCCAUCCCCACCCAACUCAAUCCAAUCAAAACUGCCUCUCUUCUUCUUCUUCUCCAACAAGCCUACCAAAAACAACCACCGCUGCCACCUUCGACCCACACUGCCACUACUACUCCCAUCACUACUUCCAACUACUAGUUUCGACAGCCUCCACCUCCAUCUUCCAGCCCACUCUACAUUUGCCACUACACAUUUAAAAAUAAACCAAGAAAACUCACCCACACGAUGCCACACCUAAAUCGAUACCACCAUCUCAAACGCCAGCAGUCUCGACAACCAAAACCCACAGUGAAAAGUGAAAUGGUUGUUAAAUCCUUUUCAAUUUCAAAUCCUCUCAAAAUCCAGCAAAAACCCAUCAUCCACCAUUGCUUUCAAAAUCGAAAAACCCCAAAUGGAACCAAAAAUCUAACAAUUGGAUCUCCACCAAUCGUCGCAUCACUAGUGAUUGUCAAAUCACCACACAUUCACAACCAAAUCUCAUAAAAUGAAAAUCAAAACUAUUACAAAGCUUCAAAAAAUUAAUGGGGAAAAAAUCUAAUUUAGGUCGAUGGCGGUUUUUACCAACCCUGAAAUUGUUUUUUGGUUAGGGAUGGUUCGAAAUAGAGUGUGGUGUGGGGUUGGAGGGUGGUGACCGUGGUCGUGGACGAUGCGACGGUGUAUUGGUUGUUGUCGACGGUCAAUCAUGUAUGGAUAUCAAUGUCGUUGGUUAGAGAAAACGAAGAUGGUUGGAGAUGAU